rnacentral:rRNA from 1 species
GACGAACGCUGGCGGCGUGCUUAACACAUGCAAGUCGAGCGGAGCGGAGAACGGGUGAGUAACGCGUGAGUAACUGCCCCCCUCUCUGGGAUAACAGUUGGAAACGGCUGCUAAUACCGGAUAGUGGGGGCUGCCUCGCGUCCUAUCAGCUUGUUGGUGGGGUGGUGGCCUACCAAGGCGACGACGGGUCGCCGGCCUGGGAGGGCGAACGGCCACAUGGGGCUGAGGUACGGCCCAAACUCCAACGGGGGGCAGCAGUGGGGAAUAUUGCACAACGGGGGAAACCCUAAUGCAGCAACGCCGCGGGCGGGAUGACGGCCUGCGGGGUGUAAACCGCUUUCAGCCAUGACGCGGUAGUGGCAGAAGAAGCACCGGCUAACUACGUGCCAGCAGCCGCGGUAAUAC